AUUGAACGCUGGCGGAAUGCUUUACACAUGCAAGUCGAGCGGCAGCGCGGGGCAACCUGGCGGCGAGCGGCGAACGGGUGAGUAAUACAUCGGAACGUGCCCAGACGUGGGGGGAUAACUACUCGAAAGAGUGGCUAAUACCGCAUACGAUCUACGGAUGAAAGCGGGGGAUCGCAAGACCUCGCGCGUCUGGAGCGGCUGAUGGCAGAUUAGGUAGUUGGUGGGAUAAAAGCCUACCAAGCCAACGAUCUGUAGCUGGUCUGAGAGGAUGAUCAGCCACACUGGGACUGAGACACGGCCCAGACUCCUACGGGAGGCAGCAGUGGGGAAUUUUGGACAAUGGGCGAAAGCCUGAUCCAGCCAUUCCGCGUGCAGGAUGAAGGCCCUCGGGUUGUAAACUGCUUUUGUACAGAACGAAAAAGACUCUGGCUAAUACCUGGAGUCCAUGACGGUACUGUAAGAAUAAGCACCGGCUAACUACGUAGCCAGCAGCCG
rnacentral:rRNA from 1 species